GAAACUCCCCAAAAUGUGGUGGAUCCAUCUUUCUGUGGUUCUUUCACUGAAUCUCAGCCGACGUGCAUGAUGCAUCAUCAGAGGCCGAAGAAGAUGGUAGCUUUCGAAGGUGCUUUGACUGGGAGGCGAUUCCUUGGUUUUCCUGUGCAGCAGGAUGAAGGUGUCAACUGUGGGGUGGUGGAGUGGGUGGAUGGUCCUUGGCUAGAGAUUCUAUAAAGGUGCCUAGCAAGGAUUUGGGACAUGUACCAUGAGCAGAACUUGAGAAGGGUGAAGGACAAACAAGCUCAUGAGAAAGAGGUGGACAAGCUAAAGAAGGAAAUUGACUUUCUGUCAAACAACUACAGCCAGUUGGUGGAAGAUGUAUCCAAACUUUUUGACUAUCGAGAUGGCAAGAUGUCUCUUAAAUUAAUUAAGUAG
rnacentral:rRNA from 1 species